AAAUCCUUAUAACUUCCGGAAAUAUACAAAAAAAAAACUGAAACCAAAAAUGUAAAUGAACACUUCCAAAAAGAAAUAUAUUUGGUGAGAUGGAGACAAUCAAAGACACUGCCCUUGCAGCUUCGCAAGGAUGUCCUAUUCCAACAUAUGUUCUAGACGAUUUGUGCAGUCGAUUCAUCAUCAAUAUUCCGGAUGAAGAGAGGCAGGACCUCAUCCGAGUGUUCUUCCAGAUAGAAUUGGCUCACUGGUUCUACUUGGACUUCUACUGUGCAGAAAACGUGGAACUCAGAACAUGUGGGAUCAAAGAUUUCUCUGCACAGAAUAUCCUUAGUUUUAUAAGUCAAUAAAUACAAAUACAAAUAUUUUAUUGGCACAAACACGAUUACAAUAAUUGGCAAAGGCCCAUUAUAAAUAAUGCUGACUUAAUAUGUAAGGCUUAUAUAAGAAGCUAGGCCUACAAUCAGUUUACUGAUAAUAAUUAGCCAUAAAAUGCCAAUAUCUAAGGUAGAACUGUCAUUGGAACAUUUUAAGACGGAGCAAUAAAUUAACUGUUCCCAAUUUUUUUAUUUUGGUGAUUGUUGUUAAUCCAUGCACCUCAGAACUUUAGUGGGCAUAUUGAACUUUAAAAAUGUACAUGUAGAAAAGUCUAUAGUAGCUGCAAUGAUAAUGAUAUUUCUUGAAAGAGGAAUCACCCAUAUUAAGUUUAGUUUCCUUUAAAAUCCAGAUCUUUUAUAUUAAUACUAUUAGAACCUUAACCAUCACACUUUUUAAACAUUGUCCAUUUCUAAGCGGACAUGCUGGAGAGGUGGACAAAAUCCUGGACAACUGGAAGUCUUACAAGAUGAGUGUGCCAACUUAUGGAGCCAUUCUGUUAGAUCCAGAGAUGAAAUAUUGUCUGUUAGCUCAAGGAUUCUGGACUAAAAGCAGUUGGGGAUUCCCCAAAGGAAAAGUCAACGAAAAUGAAGCCCCACAUGACUGUGCUAUCAGAGAGGUGGAUGAGGAGACAGGAUUCGACAUCACUCCACUGAUAGACAAAAACGAGUUUAUAGAGAAUUACUUCAAUGACCAGCUUUCCCGACUCUACAUCAUCAAAGGGGUGGGGCUUGACACCAAGUUCCAGCCAAAGACUCGGAAGGAAAUCAAGAGUUUGCAGUGGUUUCCAGUAGAAGCCUUGCCUGCCCAUAGACGGGACCAAACCCCAAAAUCACUCGACAUGAACCCAAACAAUUUCUUCAUGGUCAUACCAUUCAUCAAGUAAGUUUGUCAGCAUUUUAGACUUGGUGUAUGAACUAAUGUCAAAUUAGAUUUCAGAUAAAGGAAUUUUAAUAAACCUUUUAGUAGUUUAUUUGACUUUAGCCUUCUAUUUCAUCAUUAUUACUGUAUUCUAGGGGCUUAAUUUUUGUGGAUUUGUGCAUACCUUUUACCAAGAUAUGAACAUCCUCAACUAAUUAUGAAGCAUAGAAUUUAUUUUUUAUGUAGUUAUACUAGAGAGUCUUAAGAAAUUACAUCCCAAUGAACCUAAAAAUUGGUCCCUACAGAUUUUUAUGAUUCCACAAUAAUCACUACAUCUCAUUUCAGGCCAGCAUAAAUUUUAGCUUGCUGUGAUUGGUGAAUUAGAAAGCGACAUUAUACUGAACAUCCAUGGUCUUACAAAAUUAGCUCAGAUUCUAAGUGUUUUGAUUCUUUGAUGAAUGUAAUAAUAAUCUAUGACCUGUAUUUUUCGAAUUGACAGAAUUAAGCUAUCUUUAUUUAUGGUUACAUGGAUAUUAAUGUUAAACAGGCUUGGUCCUUGUGAUUCUGCAUGGAGAUAAAUAUAUAAAAGUAAAUAUUUAUGACAAAAUCUUGAACAUUAAAUGUUCAACAUAUUUAUAACUGGUAGCUUUUUAUUACUUGUAGACCUCUUAGAAAAUGGAUUUCUAAGAAGUUAGGACAGACAUAUCUUUUAGAUGCUGAGUAUGAUAUCAAGGGAGGAAACUUGUCAGGGCAAAAACAGAUGAAAGCAAGAGACCAGCCAGAGGGCAAUAACAGACAGUUCAACGAGGGCAGGGCCACUCAGAGGGAGAAACAGAAGCAAAAAGUCCAGCAGUAUUUUGCCCAGCAGAAUCACAAUGAAUUCCAGGAGUAUAUGCAGCAUAAAGAGAAGAAACAAAGAUCUGACUCUCCAAGAAAGGAGGCUGGAAAAGUCAGAGGGAUAGAGAACAAAUCACCCAAACCUAAUAAGAAGCAGCAUUAUUCUAUUUUGAACCGAGAUGGGACUGUCACAGGUGCCCAGCCCAAUUUACUUCAGAAUACCUGGGGUCCAAACCAGGUCACUGGUCAGCCCAAGAGGAACCUGGGAAAUCCAUUUAAUAGUCCAGGUGGCUACAUGCAGGGACCUAGACUGUCAAAUUACAACAACAACUCAGCGAAAUCCCCCAUGUCAGGAAACAUGAGCCAAGAUGUGAAACAGAGGCCCAGAAAGUACAAAAAAAUCACAGACCCUGAUGGGUUGGGGUCAGAAGCCUGGCUAAACUUCCAACUGGAUGUGAAUGCCAUCAUGGCGUGUCUGCCUUGAUAGUUCUGACUUGGCUAAAUGUUUUAAAGAAACUCUUUUGGCGAUUUAAAGUUUUUCUCAUGAAUGCUUACAAGGAUAAGAAGUCAUAGGCAAUGAUUCCCAGUUUUGUUUUAGACAAAAUAUCAAGGAAAUAUCGAUGUCGGGCAUUGAUGAGGUAUUCAGUUGGUCACUGAAUCGUAGGCAGCAAAGAGACUACCUGUACAUGUAUAUUCAUAAUUGAUAUUUGAUGUCAAAGUAUGCAGUAUAUAUGCAUGUAAGAGCACAAUUUAACUGUGGUAUUUUAACAAACUAGUUACAUGUACUGAAUUACAUUUAUGAAGGAAAGAGAGACAUUCAGUUGUCUUUAGUACUUUGAGAUACAUGUAUGUAGGGAACAAAUGAAAGAAUUGAAGCUCUUAGUUCUAGUCAACACCAUUACAUGUACCCAUUUUUUUGUACAAUUUUUUACUUAAAACUCAAAAGAAGAUUCCUGAGUACCUUUGAUUACUUGUCCAUUUACAUGUGUCUUUUUUAUUGUUGUUUACAAAUUUAUUAAAGAUAUUCUUUU
rnacentral:misc_RNA from 1 species